UUUUCACAAAACUUUUGAGAGAGGUAGAGAGAAAGAGAAAGAACAACGGUAAGAGAGAGGAAGCUUGAGAGAAGAAGAAAAAGGUUUGAGAUUCAAGGGGUUGGAGCUGAAUUGAAGUUAAGGCUAGGAUUUGCUUGUUGUGAGACGGUGUGCAGGAGUAGUUGUUGAUUGCUUGGGGAGUGCUCAGAUAGCGGGAGCUAUCUCCGUUAUCGAUCUUUUGAGUCUUAAAGUAGGCUCUGAUCUAGGAUGUCUGUCUUUAUGAUUAUUCUAGAUUGAUUAUGCUGGAUUUAUGUUAUAGAGAUUUUGCCGAUAUGUCGGGAUUUGGAGAUUUUUAUGUAUCGCCAUAUUUGGAGUAAUAACAUGUAUACUUGGAGAUGUAUGAUUUAUAUCCGCUGCGCAGUUGUUUGAAUUUUAUGCAUGUUAUAUUCUGGUGAA